ensembl:snRNA
GUGCUGUAUGAAAGGAAAGAAGGUUAGCAUUCCCCUUGCCAAGGACAGAAGAGGCCCGCGGGCCUGACAACACCCACACAGUCAAGGCAUUGCCACCCACUUCAUGUCGUCUAACCACUUCCUUGC